AGAAGAGACAUGGCGAAUAAAAAGAGAAAAUAUGCCUGCAAAUUCCUAACUUAAUGGAAAAAAGAAUUCAGGUUCAGCCAGGACAGCUCGAAGGGGAAGGGAUAUGCUGCCUGCAAAUUUUGUAGAUCAGACUUCUCCAUUGAACACGGUGGCCGAACGGAUUUAAUUACACACAUAGGGUCAGAAAAGCACAAGGCUGCGGCAAUGCAGCACCGGUCACAGCACAGUAUUUUGGGCCAUCUUUCCAAAGGUAGACCCGAUGGUGUUAUUUAUGCCGAGACAAAGAUGGCUAUGCUGUUAGCUACAAGCAACAUCCCGUUCACAUUUGCGGAUGUUUUCAACAAAUCCGUGAAGAAUAUGUUCCCGGAUUCAGAUAUUGCUCACCAGUACGCAAACAGAAGAACAAAGGCUACUCAAAUAGUGAAAGGUGAGUGUAUAUAAAAUAAUACUGUUUUCUAAGAGUUAGAGUUGAGACUUGUCCCUUCAUAAUACGGAUUUGUCCCGUAUUUUAAGAUUGAAUUGUUAAAGAGUAUUAAUUCUUUCUUUUUUUUUUCUUAAGUAAGCAGCAAGUACAGCACAGUUAGUAGAAAAACUGUGUUUUCAUUACUGUGUACUUUUAUAGGUGCCAUUGCCCCGGAAUUGGACAGGAAAGUGAUCAAACUGUGCCUUGACCAACCCUUUGGUCUGAUGUGUGAUGAAAGCACAAGUAGAAACACGGAUAAAGAGUUUGUAAUAUUGGCCAGGGUUUGCGAUCCGAAAACUCAGGAGGUGGUGACGAGGUUUCUGCACAUGCCAGUGUGCAACAUUGGCACAGCAGAGAACCUCUUUCAGUCACUGAACACAGUGCUAAGUGACAGAAAAAUUGACUGGAAAAACGUUGUGGCAUUUAAUAGUGAUAAUGCCAGUGUCAUGAAGGGGAAGCACAAUUCUGUUGCAGCCAUCCCUAAUUGACAUGUGAUGCAUCUGUCAUCUGGUCCAGCUGGCCACAGGAUGUGGCAUUAGGGCUCUACACCAGCCUAUUGAAGAAAUCCUCAGCAGCAUAUAUGCUCACUUUGACAUAAGUGCCAAACGUUGUGAAAUCUUCAAAGAGUUUGUGGAGUUCACAGACUCAGAGACUCUGAAGAUACUCCGAUAUUGUGCAACCAGGUGGCUCAGCUUGCUGACUUGCAUAAAACGGGUGCUCAGCCAGUGGGAUGCACUGCAGGCAUAUUUUGCUAGUCAUGAGGAUGUGGAGAAGCCUGGCAAAGUGAAGAUGCUGGCAGAGCAUUUAACCAGCAAGAAGACAAAGUUUUUCUUCCUCUUCCUCUCCCAGGUUCUGAAACCACUGGCAGAGUUCAAUGUUAUGUUUCAGGCUGAAGGAGUCAUGAUCCAUAGGCUGCACCAGGAGAUGACCAGCUUGGUGAGAAGAUUCAUGGGAAGAUUUUCUCCCUGCCAGCCUUAUUGCUGACGUCCCACUGAAGGACAUCAAGUUCAAGGAGGCCAGCCUACAGUUUCCAGACAAAGAACUCUUUCUUGGAGCAGCUGCACAAACCUUCUUGGAGGACAACAUGGAUGAACUUUCCUCUUCUGUGCCAAUGAUGAUAAAGUAAACAUUAUGAUUAUUGUGUUAUCCAAAUCAGCUUACAUCCUAAGAGCUAACAAACUGACAUCCCAUCAUACAAUGCCUGUACUUUUUUAUGUGAUCAUGUGUCAGAGCAGUGAGAGACUUCUUUGUAGCUGUGACCACAAAGAUGAUGACUGCAUUCCCCCUCGACAACAUCAUCCUCCAAAACCUGACCCUGUUGGACCCAGAGUCACG